AUGGCUCUCGUCGUGCUCGCCGCCGUGUCCUCUGACGUCCUUCCCGUCGCCGACGCCGACGAUGGCCUCUUCUCCAGGACGUGCAAGAAGAGCAAGACCCCCGCGAUCUGCGUGGCCAUGCUGAGAGCCGACCGAAGGACCGACGGCGCCAUGAACCUGUACGGCCUCGCCAGCAACGCGCUGCUGAUCGCAAUCGACACUGUCUACAACAACACUAGGGUAAUCGUCGACUUGUUCAAGGGCAAAGAGGGCACACCGGAGGGGGGAGCGCUGGAUGUUUGCAACCAGGCCUAUCUCGAAGCCGACAACGACCUUGAGCUCCAAGCGCGCGUUGCCCUCGACUUUUUGGACUAUGCCGGCGCGUCGAAUGUCAUCUUGCUCGCGAAGGACGCCGGUGAUAUGUGUGAGGACGCGUUCAAGGCGAUCAACAAGAAGUCCCCCCUGACCGACAUGGAUCGCCAGAUGACGGAGCGCUGUGGUGUCACGGCCGACCUCAUGGAUCUGCUUGCCUCCAAGCGAUCGGAAUAA
rnacentral:rRNA from 1 species